GUGCUCGCUUCGGCAGCACAUAUACUAAAACUGGAAUGAUACAGAGAAGAUCAGCACGGCCCCUGUGCAAGGAUGAUACACAAAUUCGUGAAGCAUUCCAUAUUUUU
ensembl:snRNA U6 U6 spliceosomal RNA